GUCCGCGAGGUCGCGGCGCUGCGAGCUCGGCGCGGGAGCUGGCAGCGGGAGGAGAGGUGGCGGCGGACCCGGACGGCCCGGGCUCCGGAGCAAGUUCCAGCUGCUGGCCCUGCCGGGAGAUGCAGGUGCCACGGGGGAGGGCCGGGGGCGCAGUGCAGGCAGCUGUGUCAAUCGUUUCCCCUCCAGGGACUCGCCGGUGUCAGGGGACGGUGGGUUGUACAGCUGCGCCGGGCCUGCUAGGGUCGCCGCCUGGGAGCCGGGAGGCUGGGAGCUCGCGGCUCCGUGCGACCCUCGACCCGUCCUGGCCGGUGCUGUACCUGCGCAGUUAAUGACAGCGGGAACUGGGAGGCCCGGGGAGCUGGGCAACCGAUCCACGGUCGCGGCCUGGAGCGAUGUCAGCUCGGCUCUUUAUUGUGCCACCUGUAUCCCCUCGGUCCUUACCUUCGUAGUUCUUUCUCCCUCUGUCCAUCCCGAACCCGUUAAAAGUGACCCCUGAGAAUAUUGGAUGGUAUUAAGGAAUUAUCGUUAACCUUGUUGGGUGUGAUGACGGUAAUGUGGUUAUGUGAAGGAGAGAAAGGAAGAAAAAAAAAGACGAAAUACUAAAAGGUUUGACAGAUAAAAUGAUCCAGUGUCUGGGAUUUAUUUUAAAAUAACUCCUACAAAAACUGAUGGAAGGAGGAUAAAACAAGCCAGUGGGGUGUUUUCCAUUGCUGAUGCUGUGUUAUACACGGGCUCAUUCCAAUAUCUCUACCUAUAUAUCUGAAAUUUUCCAUAAUAAAAAAUUUAACCAGUGAUUGCCUCUGGGGAGGACAAGGAGGUGGCGGAUGAUGGGAGAUCAUUUAUUUUUCUUUAUACACCAUUUUGUGCUGUUCGAAGUUUUUUCCGUGUCAAUGUAUUACCUCUUCAGAAACUCGGAAAGUUUUAGUUUUCCUUUUUUGUUUUUAAGGCUGCGGAAGGAAAACCACGUUAAGAGUAGCACAAUUGGUUCCUCCUAAGAGAUGUACAUGAUUCUUUGGGCUCGGAUGGCACUGCUGUUAGGUAGGCGGUGAAUGGAGAUCCACUUGGGAAAUUAGAAAACUACUAAUUGCUUUAUCUGAAAAGCCCGCCUCUUCCUCCACAAAAGUAGAAAUUUAUUUCUCACAUUCUGAAGGCUAGGAAGUCCAAGAUCAAGGUGCAAGUUGAUUCUCUUCCUGGUGAGGACUCUCUUCCUGGCUUGCAGAUGGCUGCCUUCUUGCUGUUUCUUCACAUGGUAGAGAGAGAUGAUUUUUGUCUCUUCAUAUAGUGGUUCUACCCUCAUAAACUAAUAACAUCCCAAAGGCCCUACCUCCAAAUGCCCUCACAUGGGGGUUAGGGCUUCACUAUAUAAUUUUUUUUUUUUCAAAACCAACUCAAGUAGCUUAUUCUAAUGGAAGUUGUAAUGAGUCUGCGUGUUCCACGGCAUGUGACUUUUAUUUGGGUCAGUUUUGUCUUUUUAAAAAUUGGCUUAGGGGCUUCCCUGGUGGCACAGUGGUUGAGAGUCCGCCUGCCGAUGCAGGGGACACGGGUUCGUGUCCCGGUCUGGGAAGAUCCCACAUGCCGCGGAGUGGCUGGGCCCGUGAGCCAUGGCCGCCGUACCUGCGCGUCCGGAGCCUGUGCUCCGCAACGGGAGAGGCCACAACAGUGAGAGGCCCGCGUACCGCAAAAAGAAAAAAAAAAUUGGCAUAGGAUCUUGUUUUAUCAGUUUGUUUGAAGACUGCCAGCAGAGGUGCAAGCUGCACUUACUAUAAUUAUUUAGAUGACAUGGUGGUGGGUGCUAAUUAAGGGGUAAUUAUCAUCAGAGGCAAAGGCUAAGAUCAAAAAGCUGAAAGUGGUGGGGAGACAGUUGCAGGAUUUUUCUGUAAAAGGGUGCUGUGAACCCUCUGGGACCAAAUGAUGCCCUCACAAAGCUCAUUAUGCCCUGGCCUGGCUGGUGCUGGGCACUUAGCUGGGUCAGUGACUUUGCAUGAAGCUGAAGUGGAAAAGUAAAAUUUUUAAAGAAAUAGCUAGUCCGUGGAGCUCCUUUUGAGGGCUUUUUGUGUGGUCGUUGUGUUAAGUAAUGGAACUUAAUGUUCAUUCUUGCUACUCCAAGAGUGACCCCCCAGCAUAGUCAGAACCUGGAAGCCUUUUGGGUAAUGCAAGAAUCCUUGUCCCCUCCCCAACUCCCCUGAAUCAGAAUCUGUACUUUAACAGGAUUCCCCCAGGUGAUUGGUCCACAUGUUAAAGGUUAACAAGUACUGUUUUAAAGUAUACCCAUAGCAUUUGACAGUAAUCUAAUUCUUUUUGUUAGGAUGGGGGAGAACAUUAAGAACCUACUAUGCAUCAGAUAUGAUAUCAGGCUCUUGAGGAAGUCUUCAUUUGCAUCUCUACCUGUUAUCUUUAUUUUACAAGUGAGAAACUGAAAAGGAUCUAAGGCAAGCGUGUACCCUUUGAUGCUGCAGGCUGUCCCUGUAUGCUGCCUAGAGGAGCACAGCAUCCCCACUACCUUGAGUUCCACUCAGAUGGACUCUAGCUGAAAAAAGAAAAUCCCACAAAGAAAACUAAUAGAAUAAUCUAUUCUGCCAUUGUUGUGCCUUUGUUUUAGCCCAGUCAUGGGAACUGUCAGAACUGGAGUUGCUAAAUAGAGCUAUGCAGUCUUUCUCUGAUAAUGUGUAGUAAAAUGUACUACAACUUAUAUAAUUCAGUUCCAAGAACUAGAGGUCAGAAAUUACAUCGGCUAGAGGAAAUUUUUCCUUUUCAUGGAAUGUGGAAUAAAAUUAUAAAUCAUACCCUUAACAUUGUAGCGGUUGUAUUACAAGAUGUGGGCCCCGCCCUGCCUUUAUCUCUCUGACACUCUGCAACCCUUCUCUCUGUUCCGAGGAAUAUUGGGCUGAUAGGACUUUUUUAACUAAUGUCCCCCUGACUAGCUAGCCUAUUUUAAAUUGUAACACACCCACUCUCAAAUGUUCACUAUUCCCCCCCUUAUUUUUCUUCAGGGCAUUUAUCUCCUCAUCCAACAUAUCACAUAUUUUGCGUGUUUAUCUUCCGUAUGAGGUUAGAGAUCUUUGCCGGUCUUGUUUUCUGCUGUAUCCCUUGCACCUGGAAGAGUGUGGCACAUAGUAGGUGCUCAGUAAAUAUUUGUUGAAUAAAUGGCCCCAUUUCUUUCUUUUUUUAAUGUAAGAUUAUAUCAUAAAAAGAAAGUGACUUGAAACUAACAACAGUUUCACAUAAAUUGUGGCUCCAUAAGUUGAUGACUGGGUUUUCCCAAGUGGGAGGGAGUGCUUUCUGGAGCUACCUUUUGUUCUUGCUUUGGAUAGGUUUUCAUUCUGAGAAUUGAGGCGAUGAAUAUUACUACAAUCCCAAUUACCUUGUUUUCUGGGAUAAUUGGAACAUGUUCUCUGUAGAUAGUGACAUCCUUUGGGGAAUAAACUGCUGUCUAGGUAACUGAAAGACAAAGCAAGGGAAAUUCCCUGGGGACAGGCUGCCUGACAAGGAUUGGUACCCAGUCAUCUCUAAAGGUCUGGCUACCUGACUCUUGUCUGGAAACAGCCCUCUUCUCCCCAAGGUCCUCACCCCUAAUGCUCUAUGAUACCCCUCUCCCUCAACAAAAACCCUCCUGGGACUUCCCAUCACGAAAACUAAAAUCCAAAAUCCUUACAAUGGCCUAUAAGGCCCUGCAUGAUCUGGCCCCUGACAACUCCUAUCCCUUCCCACUUUGCCAAGCCUGCCUCUGUCUACUACUAGAACCUCCCAGCUACUGCCUCAGGGUCUUUGUACUGCUGUUCCCUCCACUGGUCCUAGAGAUAAGCACAGGACUCAAGCCCUCACCACUCAGGUCUUCGCUCCAGUGUCUCCUCAGUAGCGUCUACACUGACCAUGCUAUUUAAGUUAAACCCCUCACCCUGCUAUCCCCACACUCCAUAUCCUUUCCCUCUGGUCUUUCACCAUAGUAAUCAUGUUUGUUUUACAUAUUAACUUGUCUGUUUGUUUCCUUCCACUAGAAUAUAAACUCUAUGAGGACAGGGAUUGUUGACUUUUCACCCAUAUAUGCCCAGCACACCUAGAAUAGUGCCUCACACACAGAAAGCAUGCUGAAAAUAUUUGUGAACUAAAUACCUCGUAAAUUAUGUUGAACUCUUCCAUAUCUUUACUUAUUGUUUGUGUGCUUGAACUACCAAUAAUUGCAAAAGGUAUCUUGAAACCUCCCACUGUAAGAGGAAUUUUGUCAGUUUCUCCCUACAAUUCUAUUUCUGUUUUUAUGUUUUUAGGAUAUUUUUUUGGGCACAUAGAGUUUAGCAUUGUUAUAACUUCCUGAUGGUGUUGAAAGCUUUUUAAGUAAUAUGGGAGAUGAAUUGCCAAAAUUGCCUGAAUUUUCCACCCCUCCCUGUACACACACCUCUUGCAAUGUGUCUUUCCAAUUCCUCCCAGAAUCUGGGCUGGCCUUGUAACUUGCUUCUGCCAAAAGAAUGUGGCAGAAGUGAUAAAUAGUUCUGAGCCUGAGCCUUCAUAAACCUUGAAUGCUUCCACAUUCUCUCUUGGAUCCCUGCCUCCACCAUGAGAACAGGCCUGGGCUAGCCUGCUGGAGGAUGAGAAGCUAUAUGGAAAAGAGCUGAGGACAUCCUAUACCAGUCAACAGCCAGCAGACCCCAAACAGGCAAGCCCAGCCAGGAUCAGCAUAGCCACCCACCUGACCUGCAGCUGCUCACAGAUGCAUGUGUGAGCCCACCUGGGCCCAGAAGAACUGCCCAGCUGACUUGUAGACUCAUGAGCAAUAAUAACUAGCUAUCAUAGUAAGCCUGUGAGUUUUGAAGUGGCUUGUUAUACAGCAUUAUUGUGGCAAUAGAUAAUUGAUGGUUAAUGCCUCCUCAUUUGGGUCGCAGCCUCAGAAAGGCUUUUCCGACUACCCAGGCAAUCUAAAUCUGCCUCCCAGUCUCUGUAUAAUACGGGUGUAUUAUUUUCUCAAUAACGCCUAUCACUCUCCAAAAUGAUUUGUUGACUACUAUCUGUCUCCCACACUAGACUGUCAGCGGUAUGAUGUCAGAGACCUUGUCCACCUGCUCAUCCUCAGCAUCCAGCACGGUACUGCACUGUCCAGCUGUGUGUGUCCACCAAGCACUGGAAAUGUGGCUAGUCCAACCUGAGAUGUUCUGGAAAUACAAAGCACUGGGUUUCCAAGGCUUAGUACAAAAAUUGUGUAUAUAAAGUAUCUCAAUUGUUAUACUGAUAAAAGGUUGAAAUAAUAUUUUGAAUAUAUUGUGUUAAGUAGAAUAUGUUAUUAAAGUUAAUUUCA